UACGAAGGGGGCUAGCGUUGUUCGGAAUCACUGGGCGUAAAGCGCACGUAGGCGGACUUUCAAGUCAGGGGUGAAAUCCCGGGGCUCAACCUCGGAAUUGCCUUUGAUACUGUAGGUCUCGAGUCCGGAAGAGGUGGGUGGAAUUCCUAGUGUAGAGGUGAAAUUCGUAGAUAUUAGGAAGAACACCGGUGGCGAAGGCGGCCCACUGGUCCGGUACUGACGCUGAGGUGCGAAAGCGUGGGGAGCAAACAGG
rnacentral:rRNA from 1 species